rnacentral:rRNA from 1 species
GACGAACGCUGGCGGCGUGCUUAACACAUGCAAGUCGAACGGAAAGGCCCUGCUUUUGUGGGGUGCUCGAGUGGCGAACGGGUGAGUAACACGUGAGUAACCUGCCCUUGACUUUGGGAUAACUUCAGGAAACUGGGGCUAAUACCGGAUAGGAGCUCCUGCUGCAUGGUGGGGGUUGGAAAGUUUCGGCGGUUGGGGACGGACUCGCGGCUUAUCAGCUUGUUGGUGGGGUAGUGGCUUACCGAGGCUUUGACGGGUAGCCGGCCUGAGAGGGUGACCGGCCACAUUGGGACUGAGAGACGGCCCAGACUCCUACGGGAGGCAGCAGUGGGGAAUAUUGCACAAUGGGCGGAAGCCUGAUGCAGCAACGCCGCGUGCGGGAUGACGGCCUUCGGGUUGUAAACCGCUUUCGCCUGUGACGAAGCGUGAGUGACGGUAAUGGGUAAAGAAGCACCGGCUAACUACGUG